rnacentral:rRNA from 1 species
UACAGAGGGGGCAAGCGUUAUUCGGAAUUAUUGGGCGUAAAAGGCUUGUAGGUGGCCACGCCAAGUCGGAUGUGAAAUCUCCCGGCUCAACUGGGAGGGGUCAUUCGAUACUGGCGGGCUCGAGGCCGGUAGGGGGAAGUGGAAUUCCCGGUGUAGUGGUGGAAUGCGUAGAUAUCGGGAGGAACACCAGUGGCGAAGGCGGCUUCCUGGACCGGUUCUGACACUGAGGAGCGAAAGCGUGGGGAGCGAUCCGG